rnacentral:rRNA from 1 species
ACACGUAGGGAGCAAGCGUUGUCCGGAUUUAUUGGGCGUAAAGGGCUCGUAGGCGGUUUCGUAAGUCGGAUGUGAAAACUCAGGGCUCAACCCUGAGACGCCAUCUGAUACUGCGAUGACUAGAGUCCGGUAGAGGAGCAUGGAAUUCCUGGUGUAGCGGAGGAAUGCGCAGAUAUCAGGAGGAACACCAACGGCGAAGGCAGUGCUCUGGGCCGGAACUGACGCUGAGGAGCGAAAGCAUGGGGAGCAAACAGGAUUAGAAACCCUAGUAGUCC